UGGAUUCCAUCCAACCCUUGUAGCGGACAAGCAGUUCGUUUACGCAAACCUAUACUUGCGUCACGUCACGUUCGCAUCAUUGUUUGUUUCAUUCAUAAAUCUCAAACGAUAGUAUUAAAAUAAUUGUUGAAACAAAGUUAAUACAACUUACAAAAUUCAUAUUAGCAUAUCUGAUGAACAGGUUAAUUGAUUCAGCUGGGUUUGAAAAUUUAUGAUAUUAGAGUUAUUUUCCCUUAUUAGAAGCAAAUUUUAAUGCCAAAAAAUUAAAUAACCUGAUUCAAAAUACCGGUUGGAGAAUGAUUUCUGAAUUGUUGUCAAAACAAAAUCC